rnacentral:lncRNA from 1 species
CCUUUUUGAGUUGGUGAUCCUUCUCAUAGGUCUGCAGUAAACCUAGCAAACCAUGAUAGGAUACUUCAGGUUUAGUCAUUCUAUAAUGACUAAGGUCAGGUAGGACUUGGGAAGUGAGUUCAAAAUGGCAUCCUUGCCCAAUUGCUCGUGCAAAGGAAAGCCAAGUUUACUUAGGCGAUCGAUUUGUUCGACCAUGUACAAUACAUGAUCGGUGACCGAUGCCCCUUCUCUCAUGCGGGCAUUGAAUAUAGCGCAGGAGGUCUUAUGUCGUUCAACAUCAUCAGGUGUGCCGAAAGACUCCUUCAACAUUUGAAGGAUUUCCACUGGCUGCGCUUCCUCGAAUUUACGAC